ACGAACGCUGGCGGCGUGCCUAAUACAUGCAAGUAGAACGCUGAAGAGAGGAGCUUGCUCUUCUUGGAUGAGUUGCGAACGGGUGAGUAACGCGUAGGUAACCUGCCUUGUAGCGGGGGAUAACUAUUGGAAACGAUAGCUAAUACCGCAUAACAAUGGAUGACACAUGUCAUUUAUUUGAAAGGGGCAAUUGCUCCACUACAAGAUGGACCUGCGUUGUAUUAGCUAGUAGGUGAGGUAACGGCUCACCUAGGCGACGAUACAUAGCCGACCUGAGAGGGUGAUCGGCCACACUGGGACUGAGACACGGCCCAGACUCCUACGGGAGGCAGCAGUAGGGAAUCUUCGGCAAUGGGGGCAACCCUGACCGAGCAACGCCGCGUGAGUGAAGAAGGUUUUCGGAUCGUAAAGCUCUGUUGUAAGUCAAGAACGAGUGUGAGAGUGGAAAGUUUACACUGUGACGGUAGCUUACCAGAAAGGGACGGCUAACUACGUG
rnacentral:rRNA from 1 species